GAAACACAAUCUCUCUCUGUUUCAUCUAUUUGUAGUUGCUGUUUCCAUUUACUAGCACAUCAGAACUCUGAAAAAGUUGAAUCUUUUCUCAAAUGGCUGCUUCAGGAAGAUGGUUUAAAUCACUCCUCUCUCAUAGAGAAAUGUCAAGAACUGAUCAAGAUGGUGAUAUUAGUAAAGAGUAACAAUAAUAAGAAAAAGUGGAAACUUUGGAAGACCUCUUAAGAAGGGUCUUCUUCUAUGAGUGUGAAGAAGGAUGGUGUUGGUGUAUCUCACAAGUCUUGUGAAUCUUCUUUGUAUAAUUCUGCUGU